rnacentral:lncRNA from 1 species
ACCACGAACCCACCAGAAGGAAGAAACUCCGAACACAUUUGAACAUCAGAAGGGAUAAACUCCAGACGUGCCACCUUAGGAGCUGUAAACCUCACCGUGAGGGUGCGCGGCCUCAUUCUUGAAGAACCCAGCCAGCAUGCUUGUGAGAAGCAUGCCUGAGUCCUAGAGAGUCAAUAGUCUCUGAUGAAUGCCACCCAACAGUCAAUAUCAACUGAAAGCCAUCUGCGUGAGCCAUCUCAGUCCAGUCAAGCUAUCAACAUGACUGCAGCAGCACUGGAGACUGCAAGAAAGAAUUGCCCAGCUUAGGCCAGUCAACACACAGGAUUACAAAAGGAGUUUUGCUGGUGGUUAAGUAUAUAUUUCAAUGGUCCGUGUAAAGGAAACAACAGUAGACAAAGAAAAUUGUAUUUCUCGGCUGACUGUAUUGUCUUUCCUGAGGACCCUCAUCAUAACAACUUUUUCUCUGGUGACAGAUUUCCAAUGAAUCACCCUGAAGUAGUACCUGCAAUGACGUUGCACACACUAUUCUCUGCAAUCAGCUGUGCGAAGACAGCUGUCACUCCUCUUCGUCACUAAAGGGAAUCCCAGUCUGAUGGCAGCAGUCCCAUGGUAAGAUCUGGUCUGCAGAGAAGAACCAUCACAGAACUCUCCAAGAAUAUAUUUAUCAAAGCCAUGUGGAAGAGAGUAUCCUCUGGACCAUCCCAGGAUGAUUCCUGGCCACAGCAAAGAGGAAGCUUGGGUUUGCAUGUCCAGGACCUCCACCCUAAGUAUUCAGGCACUCUUUUUGACAUCAUUGCUGUUGUUACUUAGGUGUAUCUCCUUGGUUGUGUUUCUCCAUUCUGCUAUAAAAACUGAGAAAACACAGAGACUAAUCAGUCAUUGAAUAUUAUGGAUGAGUCUUUGAAAAGGCAUUUUGCCCCGUCUUCUGCCCCUCAAGUAAGUGUUUAGCUGUAUCAUUCCAAACACAUGAGAAUCUAUUUGGCUCCAGAACUGCAGGGAAAUAAGGUACAGUCUUCCUCAGUAAACCCUGCCACUGAUAAUAUUAUCAUGUAUGAAAUUAUGAAUGAAUUUAUUGACUAAUUGACAAUAUGUCAGUUGGAGAAUUUAAUCUUGAGUGUACCGUUUUCACAAUGCAGCAAACUUUGAAGUUACUAUCAAAAGCCAGAUGUCUUUAAGGUAUGUUAAAAAUUCAGUCAAAACUUUAAAAAUUUAAUAGGAAUAAUACAAGCCUUGCUCUGUAGAUUGUUUGAAGGUUGCUAUUGCAACGCUUGAA